UCAACGAUUUUCAACACUCCAGCGGGGGAAGUGUGAUGAGUUGGUGGAACCAACCCAGGUAGAGUUAAAUGGCUGCUACCGUCAGCUAAAACUUGAAUGCCGCCUACGAAUUUCUUGAAACCGAUAACAUUUAUUGACGUGGAUGAUCAGAAUGGGACAACUUCCAGGAGCAUCCAUAAGACCUACAGGGAAAGGACGUCUGGUGGAGCAGAUCAGGCGGAAAAUCGUGGUCAUGCAACAACACAAGUAAUCUGGCAGCAUACUGAAUCAUCUCACAAACAAAUUUGUGGUUAGUGUAGUGUGAACAUCCAUGAAAUAAAUUCAUUUGAAUAGACAAUUGCAAUUUAA